UACGAAGGGGGCUAGCGUUGCUCGGAAUCACUGGGCGUAAAGCGCACGUAGGCGGACUCUUAAGUCAGGGGUGAAAUCCUGGAGCUCAACUCCAGAACUGCCUUUGAUACUGAGGAUCUUGAGUUCGGGAGAGGUGAGUGGAACUGCGAGUGUAGAGGUGAAAUUCGUAGAUAUUCGCAAGAACACCAGUGGCGAAGGCGGCUCACUGGCCCGAUACUGACGCUGAGGCACGAAAGCGUGGGGAGCAAACAGG
rnacentral:rRNA from 1 species